rnacentral:misc_RNA from 1 species
ACCUAUGUUACACUGUGAAAAUGCCUUCGAUGUCUCUCCUGUGGUUCGACACGUGCAGAAUCUCUCUAUGGAUUAUUAUUUUCAAAAUAUGAAAGAAGUAUUUAUACGGAAUCAUUUCGAUCUCCUCGAAAAAUACCAGAAAUCGGAUAUGCUUUUAACCAAGUUAGCAGCCAGGGUCAGAUUUUUCAAGCAGGGUCCUCUGGAAAGCUGGACCUCUAAAGUAAGGAAUGCUAGACCUUCAAAAAUGCAAUAGAAGUGUAGAGUUUCCCACUUGUAAAUGCUACGUUACAGUUGAACGUCAAGAAUCUUAAGAACUGAUAAGCGAGUAAUCGCUUGGGUUCGUGUGACAAGAAACAACAAGCUGGAAGGCUGUUUCCCUGGACUUUCCCGUCUUUUGGAGCGUCUUUGGAGGCAAGCAAACGGUUUCCUGUUCUGCCUGCGCUGCCUGACUUCCGCACUGAGGAUUCAUCCUAUAAGCUAGAGGUAGCUGGACUUCACGACGGCGACUGUUCCGCAGAUGACUGAAUGAACUUUUAAUUUUAAUUGAAAACUAAAGAUAAAUAUAAUAAUGAUCUUUAUAAUAAUGUAAAACUUUAUUAUUACACUGAAGAAUAAAAGCAGUGGUUUAAAAAAUAAAA